UCCUUGUGGAUGAGCGACACGGGGCUGGACAAAGGAGGGCUUCACAACCUCAAACCACCAGAAGAGCUCGGCCAUGAACACCAGGUAGUUACUCUGAAAAGAGGCAAGAAAGUCAGGAGAAAAAUCAGGAAAUUAAUCAAUAUUUAAGGACCUUGGUGCUCAACAAAACUACUCAUCAUCAGGAAAAUGCAAAUCAAAACCACAAUGAGAUAUCACCUGGCACCUGUCAGAAUCGCCAUCCUCAAAAAGAAGUGGCGAACUUCAGGCAAGGGCACAGGAGGCGGGAAGGAAUUCCGCAGCUGCCAGGAACAGCAAGGCAUCACUCCUACCACGGAGCUCUGGAACCUGCAGCUCAGAAGCCAUCACGCCUGAGACACGUGUCUGUCUUCACUACAAAGUAAGCUCUGAAAGGACAUGGAUCUCUGAUCGUCUGCUGAUUCACCCAA